AUGCCAGACUCCUACGGGAGGCAGCAGUGGGGGAUAUUGCACAAUGGGGGAAACCCUGAUGCAGCGACGCCGCGUGAGUGAAGAAGUAUUUCGGUACGUAAAGCUCUAUCAGCAGGAAAGAAAAUGACGGUACCUGACUAAGAAGCCCCGGCUAACUACGUGCCAGCAGCCGCGGUAAUACGUAGGGGGCAAGCGUUAUCCGGAUUUACUGGGUGUAAAGGGAGCGUAGACGGCAGCGCAAGUCUGGAGUGAAAUGCCGGGGCCCAACCCCGGAACUGCUCUGGAAACUGUGAAACUGGAGUGCAGGAGAGGUAAGCGGAAUUCCUGGUGUAGCGGUGAAAUGCGUAGAUAUCAGGAGGAACACCGGCGGCGAAGGCGGCUUACUGGACUGUAACUGACGUUGAGGCUCGAAGGCGUGGGGAGCAAACAGGAUUAGAUACCCGCGUACA
rnacentral:rRNA from 1 species